ACGACAUCGACGAGGAACGUUUUAGUUCUCCCUUGAAGAAGUUACCGGUAGAAAUAUGGUGAGGUGUUGGGUCCAUUGAGGAGGGUUAUCUAUACAGGCGGCCUUUUACAGUGUUAAGUGUAUUUUGUUUUGACCUUUAAGACAUUUUUUGGGGUCUUUUUAUUUCUUGACGUGUCGCCAGAUCGACUUAUUCAUUCAUAGAUCGUUAAGUAUACAGGAACUGGGCUCUUCUUGAAUUUUCUGGAUCUAUCGUGGACUGGAUUACUGUGCGACAAACUUAACUGCUUUGAGGACAUCUGCCAAUAAUAAGUUAUUCCUAUUCAGGUAAAGGCUUCGUGGGCAGAUAACGAGGAGAGAAGACUUUCCAGAAAAUUGGAUAGACUUCUUGACAAGUCUGUUCGUGUGACUGGCGUUGUUCAGGUGCUUUUAUAUGCUUAUUUGUUUGUUAUAAUUAUUGGUGAUGUCCCCCAGCACAAAUUAAAAUAAAUAUAUGCAGCUAUUAGCUAUUGGUAGAUUGAAUCUGGAGGCUUUCUUCUGUACCAUCCUGAAAUGGUGCAUGAAUUUAAUUCUUAUACUAAACUAGUUUAUAAAAUAUCUAAGAAAUAAUUGCACUGCACAAAAUAAGAAAAUAAGAUAGAUUGAUUGAUGCAAAAAUACACCAUGGCCUCACGACAACCUAGGUCAUGAACGCUAAAUUAAAGUAAAUAUAUGCAGCUUCUUAGUUACUGGUAUAUUUAAUCUGGAAGGUUUCUUGUGUACCCUCCCUAAAUUGUACAUAAUUUAAAUUUUUAUACUACAUUAUUUUUUAAAGUAUCGAACAAAUAUUGAAGAAAUUUAACUUGAUAAAGCUGCUUGUUGCUCAAGUGGUGAUAUUACUUUUCUAUGAAGGAAUUCAUAUUCUGUUUGUCUAGAAAUAGCGGAUAAUAGUAAAUAAAAUUGGAGAAUGGUUAAAGGCUAUUCGGUACCUUUUUGAAUCUAAAUCCUAAAAAACUGGCUUCAUUUUGCGACUAAGCCAUUUGUAAGCAAUGGCUCAAACUGACAUAAAUUCAUCAAACUGAUACAAAUUUCUGACAAGUUAAUAUGGCUUCUAGUUCACUUUAGAGGGGUGAAUGAUAGUUAAUAGUGGUUCGGAAUCUGUGGAAACCUUACAAUUUUUACCCAAUCUGAUUCUGACUUAAGACAAAGUAUGUAAGCACCUUAUCCUGGUUAAUUAAAA